UACGUAGGGACCAAGCGUUGUCCGGAAUCAUUGGGCGUAAAGAGCGUGUAGGCGGCUUGUUAAGUCUUGCGUGAAAUCUCGGGGCUCAACCCCGAGCGGUCGUGAGAAACUGGCAGGCUAGAGUGCGGGAGAGGUGAGUGGAACUGCGAGUGUAGAGGUGAAAUUCGUAGAUAUUCGCAAGAACACCAGUGGCGAAGGCGGCUCACUGGCCCGAUACUGACGCUGAGGCACGAAAGCGUGGGGAGCAAACAGGG
rnacentral:rRNA from 1 species